GCAAUGCAACAGAAAUGAGCCACAGGCGUGUUUGGUGCCAGUUGGGCCCCCCACGGAAAUUUCAGGUUGUAAUUUGCGGGCAGCUCACCAACAGACUAACAAAAAACUGGCAGUUGUUAGUUAAAAGAAAAGCCGACUUGCUGGAGUUUGACUUUUUUGUGUGUUACAGAGGGACAGCUCACUUUAUGAGUGCACAAGUCAAAAGAGCUGCAGAUAAAUCUCCACCCAUCACUCGUCUUGUUCAUGUUGUCUUUUUUAGAACAAUACAAUUUCUUUUCUUGGAUCACUAGAAAACACAAGAUCAAGUAUGAAUCACCAAUCAACCUAUCUGCAUAUCUGGAAUAUGUGAGAAAACCAGAUCACACAGAGCACACCGGGUUGAAGACACCGAUACAUGCAAACUCCACACAGACAGUCUCUGGCGCUGUAAGGAGGCAUUGCUAACCUCUAUGCCGGUAUAAUGCCCCUGUCAGCAUCCAACAAUAGCCGGCCAGCACCUAUGGAUUCCACUUGCCCUAAUACCACUUGCCAAUCAUAUAAUUUCGUCACUGAUCAUCACUGAUGCACCAAAGUUAGUAGAUAAGAAGACCAAAUAUGAAAAAAUGAAUCUUUAGUAACAUUUUACACUGUAUGGUUGUUGUAUGCUUGAAGAAUGUUGUCAUCCAACCAGACAUAGUUUGGUGCUCUGUAGUUGGCAAGAAAACUCUUAAUAUCAUUCUUGAAUGCCUUCCAUGGGAUUUUCUCUCACCCCAAUAGCAGAAUAUUGAACAGCUUGUCAUUGAGGACAUGUCUGGUUUGUGGACCAACAAAAACAUCCUUCCUUAAUCUUAUCAUCAGUUAUUCAUUGAAAUAUCUGUCUAAAAAUACCAACAUUCUUCAACUUCUUUUACUUUCUUGUUCAUUACUUUCAUGAAAGUUUUUAUCAGCCCAAGUUUUAAUGAAGAGGAGACAAAAGUAUCUUUGUUGGGUCAACAAGAGGUUAAUGUAAGGACAAACUUCAGCACGGCUGCCCCUUUCGCAAAUGAAACAACAGUACUUGGUAUACCCAAGCAGCAGUCUUAGUAGCAGUGCCACUACUUAUACAACACAACAGAUGUUCCAGUUGUAGUUGUUAUACUGUGUAUGUAUACUUAUAAUAGUAGAAGAAAUCACUAAAAUAGGUAAUUACGUGAUAGGUUACACUCCAAAAGUGUUCAGAAAGCAAAAUUCUUGUGGCCAAGUGAAUAGAUGGUAUGAUUAUUUGGUGAAUUAAAACACAUCAGGUUCUGCAAAGGGUGUUAAACAGAGAUGUCUCAUUGUCAUGAAUCUACUGCCAAUUGUCGGACCUUUAAGCUGGUGAUCACAACAUAAACAGGGCGAUCAUUCAUUUAAAUGAUAAAUAGGAAUGAAAUGACAAUAAACAAGAAUAACUGUAUAUUUUAGUAGGUACUGUAGGUUUCAUGCCUGUUUUCCUGGUCCUUUUUUCAGAGGAGAUGCUUAAAAUGAAAAAACAUGAAUUUGAGUUUACUAUGAAAAUGUUUUCACUCUGUGGCCCAUAAAACUGUAAUUGCUGUGUCCUAACAGAUCCAGAUUGCUAGUUCCAAAUUACUUGGUCAACGUCUGUUUGGAGAUUAUAUAUUUUUGCCAUGUCUUCACUGUAUUUUUGCUAGUGUGUUCAACACUCUUAUGUGCAUAACUUUGAGAAUGUGAAAAGUAAACCCAAACUCCUGGUGAAAGACCACACAGACAUGGAGGAGAACAAUGAAUGGGUGUUGGAUUUAAAUCCAAGAAGAUAGAUCUGUGAGGCAGCCUAAUUAACCAGUGUAGGACAUGACUGCAUAUUACACGGGGAAAAACAUGAAUGAAAAACGUGAACUGCUUAUAUCU